rnacentral:rRNA from 1 species
CAAAAACAUAGCCAUAAAAGAAAAAGUAAAUUCUUAAGGUGAGACCUGCUCAGUGACUUUACGUGAGGGAAGAAACAAUCUUAAACAAGGUUAAACAGCCGCCUUAAUCCUAAAGGGCGUGAAAUAAGCAUAAUCGGAUACCGUUUAAUUGACGGGGAGUUGAAUGGAUUUACGAGUGACAAUCUGUCUUGUUCUAAGAAUGAAUGAAUUAGAAGUUUAAGUGAAGAUGCUUAGUAAAACAAAAAGACGAAAAGACCCCGUGAAGCUUAACUAUAAGUCAACUAGGAAAAGGAAUUUCUUCUUAGUUGAAAGGGUAGUUUUGGUGGGGUGCCAGUACGUUAAAAAAAACAUGAAGUUAAUUUAGUAAAACUAAUAACUAGUGUAAUAAACAGAUUUACGCAGAGGAAAAAUCCGAUAAAGUGACCCGACUAAGUUUUAGGCUUAAGUCGACGAAGAAUAAUAGCUACUCCGGGGAUAACAGGGUAAUACCCUUCAACAGAAUGUUAUGGGGGGGGGUGUUUACCACCUCGAUG